GUACGUAGUAUACAAUCUUUGUUCAGUCGUCUUAUCGCGCCGGUGUGUUCGCACGCGUUCCUCUUGCAAGUCUUGUUUGUUUUUGGUUGAAGUUCGUCAUCGAAAUUACUAAUAUGAAAUUAAUUUCAUCUUUACGCGCUUAUCGGUAUUUGUGUUGCAAAUUCGGAAUGCAUCGCGUUACAUCUCUGAAAAUUUGAAUUGGUUCAAUCGUUACAAUCCAGCAUCUACAGCAUGUGCUUGCUGCAAACUGCGAGGGACACCAGUUGUAGUUUGCCAUCGUUCGACAGGGAUUUUGCACAUGAACCUGACAUCGUAGGAAAACCAUUCUUUCAUAAGAUUGGGUUUUGUACCAGAACCUAAGACUGUAGCACCACCAUUCUUUCAUCAGAUUGCAAGGGUUUUGCACAUGAACCUCACAUCGUAGGAGAACCAUUGUUUCAUCAGAUUGUAGGGGUUUUGCACCUGUACCUAAGAUCGUAGGAGAACCAUUCUUUCAUCAGAUUGUAGGGGUUUUGCACAUGAACCUCACAUCAUAGGAGCACC